UACGUAGGGAGCAAGCGUUGUUCGGAAUUACUGGGCGUAAAGGGAGAGUAGGCGGGAAUGCAAGUUAAAAGUGAAAUGCAUGGGCUUAACCCAUGAAUGGCUUUUAAUACUGCUUUUCUUGAGUAUGGGAGAGGAUGAUGGAAUUCCAGGUGUAGCGGUGGAAUGCGUAGAUAUCUGGAAGAACACCAGUUGCGAAGGCGGUCAUCUGGCCCAAUACUGACGCUGAGGCUCGAAAGCUAGGGGAGCAAACAGG
rnacentral:rRNA from 1 species